AAGCAGAAACAUUUUGGACAACAUUUGAAUAGUGACUGUCGGCGAAAGUCACACCGACUAAUGUGACCAGGAUGACCUGUAAAAUGUAAGCUAUAGCUGAUCGUGUGCAUUGAUUUCAGCGGUUUCGUGAGCUGACGACAUGUUGUACUAAACUAGUUAACGUCCACAGACUGAAAUACUACUGCAUCACUGUGAUAAACAGUAUCUCCUGCUCAUGAUCUGAAAACAUUGCUUCUCACUCACUGUAUAGCAACACAUAGCCUGUAUGCUAGUCUAGCACAGGCUUCUUCCUCCUUGUAUGGAUGAAGGACUAUUCUCCAUGAUGGUUCACGGAGUGCAUUGACUCAGCUCGAAAGCUGUUAUUGGGAACAAACAAGUAGGCUAUAUGAUUGACUACUCCUGAGGCUAAUUCUACUUAGCUAAUUCUACAUGUCGCCGGCUAUUAACUGAAAACAGAGCAGUAACAUGGUUGAUCCUCACAAUCAAUCACAUCACCGCAGCAGCCAAACAUUGCAACAUGAGCAUAUUGAACGAUGCUGGUGAGGUUUAAACACAGCUAGCGAGCACUUACAAAGAAAACAUUAUAUCAGACAUCAGCAGCAUAGUGAGAAACAGAUAGUUACAGCAGCAGUCAAUGGAGAAAAAGAAGCCAGCGCUUAGUAGCAGCAAGCGGCAGAAGGAUGUAAGAGCAGACCAGGUCAAUAAGGAAGUCAUGAAUGAUACUAGCCUCUAAUUGGUUCCAUUCUCAGUUGAGGCGGGCCCUCGGGUUUCCUUUCUGGACCUGCUCCCCUUAAUAAAUAGCCCACUUUUCUUGUGUACUUAUCUAUUGUUGAUCUUUUUCUAUGGGAUUUAGCCAAUUCCAGAUUUUUUAUAAUAGAUAAAGUAUUGGCUUGUUUUAGUGACACAAAAUGAAUAAUAUUGAUAAGAGCUUUUAAAUCAUUUUAGCUCUGGAGUUUCUCCUGAUUUGUUUUAAUACGUUUUACUUUGUAAUGGUGUCAGAUGUUAUUGGGCAUUUUAUAUUUUAUAUUAUGUAAUACCAUAUUGUUCAGUGUCAUAAUAUUGCUUGUUUUAUUAUCAAAUUAUGAAUUAUUACCUAUUUUAGAUACAUUACAUUUUUCAUUUUUUUUUACAUUGAAUACAGUACAAGUAUCAUGUUGUAAAUAAGCUCAGCUUAAGACAAUAAAUAGACAACAAAUAAAUCAAUUAUGUUUCUUGUAUUUCUGCCUAUUGUACACAUGAUGGCGCCAUUGAGCAACAUAAUGCAUGAGUGGCUAGCCUAUAGGCCAGCCAGGGAUACUCCAUUACUGUCAGGAGAUAAACUGUAAUAGAUCAACAAUCAGCACUGUUCAUCAACAAACACACACACAAACAUGCACGCACGCACACACGCACACACACAUGUAAACACACACUGAGUCUGGAACUUGCCAGAGUCUUUCCCGGUAGUUCAGACGUUGUAUGGGUGUGUGUGUGUGUGUGUGUGUGUGUGUGUGGUAUGGGUAUGUUGCUCCCUAGACUAUUGCAGGAGUACUCACAUUAAAGUGGUCCAACAGAUUUGCUAGGUUUUAAAGGUCUGGAUGGACUAUUUCUACUUUGAUCUCAUUUCUUGUAUUUCUUUUGUUCUCUGGGAAUAUGGUUUAUACUGCUACUGGUGUCUGGAGCUCUACCCCUCUGCCUGUCAGACACUCAGAAGUCCAUCCAGCUCAACCCUGAUUGGCCAAAGGGAUACUUCCUCAAGGGGAGUGCACUGAAGGGGUUGAAGGAAUGGACCAGGGUUUUAGGCUGCGUGUUGCUACUGAUGUCCACCUGACAGCACAGUAGAGAUCACAAUGGGGGUGGAGCUGGAGAGCACCAGGCUGGUGAUCAGGUACCCAGACAGCUAAAUGCAGAGAACACCUCCCUCUCCUCAGAGGACCAACCCCAUAGGCCUCAACACCUCCCCAGCCUCCCAGUAUGCCUCCACAGGGUAAGGACAUCCAUCUGGCUGUCAAAACAUCAUCUACAAUUUAUAAACAUAUAUAUAAGCAUUUAUAAUGAAUAAUUAUGAGUUAUAAAGUGUUACCAAUCAUCUCAUAUAAACGUUUGAAAUGGAAGGUGGAAGCAGGAGCACAGUGUCACGUUCUGACCUUAGUUCCUUUGUUUUGUCUUUGUUUUAGUAUGGUCAGGGCGUGAGUUGGGGUGGGCAGUCUAUGUUCUUUUUUCUAUAA